CAUUCACUAGAAUUGAAAUUUUGUGAAUUGGAAGAAUGAAGUGUGGAAACAAGGCGUACAAUAUAGCUUUAAUAUUGAUUAGAGAACCGUACGUUUGACGCAUUGCAUUGAAAUAAAGACUUAUCUGUA